AUCUCAAAAUAAUCAGCAAAAAUUUAGAGAGAGUAAGAAAGCUUGGUGCCUUAGGAGCUGAUCUCAAGCAGCAACCAGCUCAAGAGGGGCGUCUUCGCGCGUCAUCUAAAAAUCAAGCUAAGGAGUUUGUUCGGCUAAGAGAUAGCCUUUGAGAUUGAACGUGGACGAGGAAGCGAAGGUGUUGGGACAAGAAUUUUAAAUAAGUAGUUAGGUAGCCCAAAGUAGCAUGUCUUCAUACGUGCUAUUUUGUCUUGGACUCUUCCGCUGCAAUCUAAAGUUAUGUUCUAGAAAGUUAUGAACUUAGUCUUG